AGUGCACUCGGAAUAAAGCAACAAAGACUACAAAUGAAUAACAAAACUUUUAAAAUAAAAAUAAAAAUAAAUAAACGAGCAAGAAUGGAAGAAAAAGAAUAACGCGAUUGCGGAAGUGUCGGGACGAUCGAUAGCCUCAAGAGUGACUUCCUCAAUCGGGAACGGGAUAGUCGUCGGCAGGAUCGAUAAAUCCAGAGGCGAUAUUAGUCGCUGAUCCAGUUUAUAUUGUCUUUUUUUGUCUACAGUCACAACUUUAUAAUUUAUUUAAUAGUUAUUUAAAUUUUAUAAACUUACAGACUGAUUUAUACUCCGAAAGUAACUUUCGUUGAAAUUCUAUGAUCUCCAUGCAGCGAUUUGUCCAACUACUUUAUUUACAAACUCUCGAGAGCAUGACCAGCAAAACGUCAAACCCGUCCGCUGUGAUAAACAGAGUCGUUAAAUUAAUCCUCGACAAAUUCACACAUUUGGUCUCUUGGUAAUCAAUAAUUGCGAUAAAAGAAAAAUAAAAAUGAAAAUGAAAUAACAACAAAAGUUAAGCUCCGAUUAUCACAAAUUCUUAAUCGAAUUAUUCAUCACAAUUAUCUAUUUAAACAAUAUCUAUUGUCGUAAACCAAUCCGAGUUGGUCACGACUCGAGAUAGUUUCGUAAUUGAUAAAGACUCCUGAGAAAUUGAUAAGUGCACAUAAUUACGAUAAUAGCGGUAGCAUUAUACCUUUAUACCUUUUGUGAAGAAGCUCUCUGAAAAAAAAAUGAAUAAUAAAAUGUAAAAGAUGGGCCUGGUCUAGAUUGUUCUGGAUAGAAGGCUAACCCGACAAUGCUCAGCUUAUCUUUUUACAUUUUAUUUCAUUUAUUUCUAUUCUCUCGUCCAUUCUUACGCUACCACGAUUAUUAUUAUAACAGUAGGCUGGUCAACGAGUAGCAUUAAACCUAGUAGUCGCUGUUGUUGCUGCUGUUGCUGUUGUAGUCACCGUAUGGUGUCCUGCAAUCAUAACGCAAUCCUCGAGGAAAUGUGCAGCAGUUUUUGCGGAUGAAAAAAUUAUUUGUUGCAGAACCGGAUGGUGAUGAUUGCACGUCAAAUUAUGAAACGGCAAGAUUAAUUUGUAAGUAGUUGACAUCGUCUUUAAUUGUGUGAGUCUACGAGAGGAUUUAAUCCCAUUUAAGUGUAUAGA